CAGCAGCCGCGGGAAUACAGAGGGUGCGAGCGUUAAUCGGAUUUACUGGGCGUAAAGCGUGCGUAGGCGGCUUUUUAAGUCGGAUGUGAAAUCCCUGAGCUUAACUUAGGAAUUGCAUUCGAUACUGGGAAGCUAGAGUAUGGGAGAGGAUGGUAGAAUUCCAGGUGUAUCGGUGAAAUGCGUAGAGAUCUGGAGGAAUACCGAUGGCGAAGGCAGCCAUCUGGCCUAAUACUGACGCUGAGGUACGAAAGCAUGGGGAGCAAACAGGAUUAGAUACCCCUGUAGUCCCUGUCUCUUAUAC
rnacentral:rRNA from 1 species